rnacentral:rRNA from 1 species
GGGGGAGCAAGCGUUGUUCGGAUUUACUGGGCGUAAAGGGCGCGUAGGCGGUCAGCACAAGUCAGUUGUGAAAUCUCCGGGCUUAACUCGGAAAGGUCAACUGAUACUGUGCGACUAGAGUGCAGAAGGGCAACUGGAAUUCUCGGUGUAGCGGUGAAAUGCGUAGAUAUCGAGAGGAACACCUGCGGCGAAGGCGGGUUGCUGGGCUGACACUGACGCUGAGGCGCGAAAGCCAGGGGAGCGAACGGGAUUAGAUACCCCGGUAGUCCUGGCCUUAAACGAUGGAUGCUUGGUGUCUGGAGUUAUAUAGUCUCCGGGUGCCGCAGCUAACGCGUUAAGCAUCCCGCCUGGGGAGUACGGUCGCAAGACUG